AAACUGAUGACAAUUUUUUAGGAUGUUCAUGAUAACGAAUCUUUUUAGCUAAAGAGGGGGAGGUCAAGCAUGCCUACCUGCCAAGUUCUCCAUACAGUAGGUCACUCAAGAAAUAGGAGCAAAGUAAAGGGCACCCUUUUUCCAUAUGUGAAGGCACUAAUACAAAUAAAAUAGAUGUUGGACCUGUCACAUUCCAAAA